rnacentral:tRNA from 1 species
GCAGCGGUCGUAUAACGGUUAGUACAUCGUCCUUCCAAGUCGAUGGAGUGGGUUCGAUUCCCAUUCGCUGCUCCA